rnacentral:rRNA from 1 species
CAGCGGAGGACAUUACUGAGUUAUAACUCCAAACCCAUGUGAACUUACCAAUGUUGCCUCGGCGGGAAGCUUACCCUGUAGCUACCCUGUAGCGCCUACCCUGUAUUAGUUACCCUGUAGGCGGGUGGCGAGCCGCCAGAGGACCACUAAACUCUUGUUAUUUUGUCACUCUGAGUAUUAAAACAAAUAAGUUAAAACUUUCAACAACGGAUCUCUUGGUUCUGGCAUCGAUGAAGAACGCAGCGAAAUGCGAUAAGUAAUGUGAAUUGCAGAAUUCAGUGAAUCAUCGAAUCUUUGAACGCACAUUGCGCCCAUUAGUAUUCUAGUGGGCAUGCCUGUUCGAGCGUCAUUACGACCCUCAAGCCUUAGUUGCUUGGUAUUGGGAGCUUACCCUGUAGUAACUCCUCAAAGUCAGUGGCAGAGCUGUGGAACACUCUAAGCGUAGUAAUUCUUCUCGCUUCUGUAGUGGCUACAGCGAUUGCCAUAAGCCUAUUUUUUUAAAGGUUGACCUCGGGAUCAGGUAGGAAUACCCGCUGAACUUGAGCAUAUCAGUAAGCGGGAGGACGAAGGUU